rnacentral:lncRNA from 1 species
CUUGGCAGCAUCCUGGGGACCGCCAACGCUAAAGGUGACUCCAGGGCUGGAGUCCAGAGCUCAGGAAGAAAAUGAUCUCUGAGAAAUGUGGGUCUGUGAGAGGUGGAGGAAGACCUGAGCUUGGUACCAAUAACAGACGGACUCCAAACAGCUGAAGACGAAGAAAAGCCCGUCAGGAAAGAAACUGCCUCCGAGCGUACCUUGGUGACAUUGUCUGAGAGCGUGAGGAGAUUUGAAAACCACCUUAGUCCUCUCGCUGUGCACGCGGUGAAAUUAAUUGGCAUUUCCUCCCAGCUUAUGAUUCAGGCAAACCACUGCCCAGUUUUAAUGAGCCCAGUUUCUCCAUCACUAAUGACAUGACAGAGCUGAGGAAG